CCGCCACACACACUGCCCCACACGCACAGCCCUACUGUCCACCCCCACACAGUCCCACAUCCCCACACUGCCCUUCUGUACACCCCCACCCCACACACCCUGCCCUGCUGUACACCCCCACACACACUGCCCCACACGCACAGCCCUACUGUCCACCCCCACACAGUCCCACAUCCCCACACUACCCUUCUGUACACCCCCACCCCACACACCCUCCCCUCCUGUACGCCCCCCCACACACUGCCCCACAUGCACAGCCCUACUGUCCACCCCCACACAGUCCCACAUCCCCACACUGCCCUUCUGUACACCCCCACCCCACACACCCUGCCCUGCUGUACACCCCCCACACACACUGCCCCACACACACAGCCCUACUGUCCACCCCCAAACAGUCCCACAUCCUCACACCGCCCUUCUGUACACCCCCACCCCACACACCCUGCCCUGCUGUACACCCCCACACAAACUGCCCCACACGCACAGCCCUACUGUCCACCCCCACACAGUCCCACAUCCUCACAUCGCCCUUCUGUACACCCCCACCCCACACACCCUGCCCUCCUGUACAUAGCCCACACACUGCCCCACAUGCACAGCCCUACUGUCUACCCUCGCACAGUCCCACAUCCUCACACCGCCCUUCUGUCCAGCCCCACCCCACACACCCUGCCCUGCUGUACACCCCCCCACACACUGCCCCACACGCACAGCCCUACUGUCCACCCCCACAGGCCCACAUCCCAACACUGCCCUUCUGUACACCCCCAUCCCACACACUGCCCUGCUGUACACCCCCACACACGCACAGCCCUACUGUCCACCCCCACACAGUCCCACAUCCUCACAUCGCCCUUCUGUACACCCCCACUCCACACAUCCUGCCCUCCUGUACACAGCCCACACACUGCCCCACAUGCACAGCCCUACUGUCUACCCUCGCACAGUCCCACAUCCUCACACCGCCCUUCUGUACACCCCCACCCCACACACCCUGCCCUGCUGUACACCCCCACACACACUGCCCCACAUGCACAGCCCUACUGUCCACCCCCACACAGUCCCAAUUUCCCACACUGCCCUUCUGUACACCCCCAUCCCACACACUGCCCUGCUGUACACCCCCCCACACACUGCCCCACAUGCACAGCCCUACUGUCCACCCCCACACAGUCCCACAUCCUCACACUGCCCUUCUGUACACCCCCACCCCACACACCCUGCCCUGCUGUACACCCCCACACACACUGCCCCACACGCACAGCCCUACUGUCCACCCCCACAGGCCCACAUCCCAACACUGCCCUUCUG
rnacentral:lncRNA from 1 species